AAGCUCAUUAUGCCCAAAUCAAAGGAAAUUCCAGAAGAGAUGAAAAAGAAUCAGUCUGGAAAGAGUUACACAUCCAUUUUUUAAGGCUCUGGGACUCCACUGAACCACAGUGAGAUGUUAUCUCCAAAUCGAGAACACUUUGAAGUGGUUAUUAGUGAAUCUUCCCAAGAGUAGCCGGCCUGCCAAAAUAUCUCCAAGGGCACAGCGACAACUCAUCCAGGAAAUCACAAAAGAUCCCAGAAGGACAUCCAACGAACUGCAGGUGACUCUCUCCUCAGCUAAGCUUUACAUGUAAGACGACAAUGGAAGAACUGUGUUUGCAACACACACUCACUGCACGUGCUGACAUGGACAAACGGCUCCGACAAAAUACAGUUUACAGCAGGUUUGAACGGAGGUAGCGCGCACGCCCACCUGGCGGGGAGGCGUCGCCCAAUUUGAGGGGCAGGUCAGAGGGGCUGACCCCUGCUGGGGAACCAAGGACAUCCGGGAGGGCGUUUCGGCGCCCCGCGCGCUCGGACGAGGCGAAGUCGAGAACCGGCUCCACCUCUGUCAUCUCCAGGACCUCGACCAGAGAGGGAGGGAGGGAGUUUAAGUCGCCCCUGCCAAAGAAACCAACGUUCCGGAAAGGAAACGACAACAGCCAAAGCUGAGCGCGCUGAGCCUAGCAGCGAACUGUAGAUGCAGCUCUGGGGUAACAGAGCUUCCCCAAAGGGGAAGAGAAUGCCACCGUCUGUGGGUCCCGGCAGACAUCGCCGUCAGGACCUGUCUGCUUGCAUAGCGGCUGAGGGGGCGGGACUGUCACAAGCCAUCGGUCGCGCCGGACAUCACAGCAGCACGUGGGCGCAGCACUGCAUUCUGGGACUUUCAUAGAACCAGUGCAACCGAGUUGUUUCCAAAAAAACUGCCUUUUGAUUGGUUCGUUGGAGUGGUCGAAGACUGACUUCCUAGAUGGGGACAGGAGCCUGUUCCCCAUUGGUUCUGACUGUAGAGGACAAGCACCAUAUUGACGUAGACCGUUGAAUU